ensembl:lncRNA
CAAACAUGAGAUCUUGUGGCUGCAGCCCCCUACAGAGAAGAGUGUUCAUGGAAAAUAUUGAACCCGGGGGUUGCAGUGGUAAUGCCUAAAAAGGAAGCAAGGGGAACAGGAUAAGUGACGACAGCAUGCUCCCCCUGGGGAGUGUUCUGCUGUAAUUCAGAUCUUAAAAAUUCUGAUGAGAGGAAAUGGGAUUGAACCAGCGCAGCACCUUCAAGAUGAUUCAGGGCUCGGAUGGAAGCAGUGGCUGAGGAGAGCCUGGGCCCCUGUGAGCCCCUCCUGAUCAUUGCCCAACAUGCCCGUGUGCCCUGCUGGUCCUGCCCUGUCCACUAUGAAGGCCAUUGGGUCUUCCCAGGCUGCAGCUCAAAUCCAUCCUCGCUUGUCCUGAACAAAGCCAGGAAGCGUGCUCUUCUCCUCCUCCCCUGCAGCUGGUGAUGCGUUUGGAGGCAUUAACCUCUCUGUUUGGUCUUUAUCUAUUUAUUUAUUUUUAAAGAGACAGUGCCAUCCUUGGCUCCAUUUUUUUCCUCUCCUGUGAGCUGUCCUCAGCUGCUGGCUCCACUAUGGGUGUCCGUGCUCCCAGCAGCGUCGCUGACAGAGAACAGGCUUGCAGCGUGUGCCAUCUCCUCCUUCCCUGGAUCUCUCUGCUGCUUUUUGGCCUUUCCAUGGGAUGCCCCGCUGCCAUAGCCAAGCACUUGUAGGUGUAAACCCAACCGAUGCUCCCAUGCAAAACCGUCAGCAAACCCGUGCCGUCAUUCCAGUGUGCCAGCAGCAUCCACUUUGUCUUCAGGGACUGACCACAGCGGAGGCGUUCUCCUUCCAUCUGCCCUGAGAGGCUCUAAAAAAAUAAUAAAAAAAUAAAAAAUGGAGCACGUUAUAUCCGAAGUUCAGCAUCUCCCAAAAUCACUUGCAGAUAUUCAUAAUGGUCCGGCAGCUAUUAGAGGCGCAAGAAGGAGGGAAAGGAAGGAAAUGAGCACCGGGCAAGAGGAGAAAAUUCAUGGCCCCACUGAUACGCCAUGAUAAAUAAUUAUGAGUUAUUAAUUUUAAAUUACAUCUUUAAUGCGUUGCAUGAUUUUAAUUCCCACCACAGUAUUAAUAUAGGGGCUGUGGGUUUGAUUAAUUUGAAGCAGAACAGAACGGUGUCGGUUCCUGGGGCUGCCAGCACCCACCGGGUGCAGCCGUGGGCUGCGGGUGGGAAGCACCCAAAACUGGGGGGGGGUGGUGGGGACAGCAGGUGCAUGGGGUGGGAAGCAGCCAGGAGUGUGUGUGAGCAGCAGGGUGCUGACAGUGGGGUGUUCUGGGGCUCUGUUGUUUUGGGGGGGAUGCUGUGAGUCACUGCAUUGCAGUGCUGGGCACCACUCCUGCAUCCCGCUGGGAAUGCUCGUGCACCAAGGGCUGUGCCACAGCGUGGAAGAAGAGCACACAUUCUCAUGUUCUCAUCCCUUUCACCGCUCUAUCUGAAGCCCUUAUUAACAAAGCCUGACCUCCCCU